rnacentral:misc_RNA from 1 species
CAACCCCUCAGGCCCCCCUUCCGGGGGCGGGCCUGGUGUUGGGGCUCGGCCGCUACCCUGCGGCCGUCCCCUAAAUGCAGUGGCGGCCUCGCCGCAAUCCCUUGCGUAGUACUAUACCUCGCACUGGGGCGCGACGCGGCCACGCCGUAAAACCCCCAAUUUUCAAU